AGGACGAACGCUGGCGGCGUGCUUCAUACAUGCAAGUCGAACGAGAAAUUCACUUCGGUGGAUGGGAAAGUGGCGGACGGGUGAGUAAAAUGUAGGAAAUCUGCCCUUAAGAGGGGGACAACAGAGGGAAACUUCUGCUAAUACCCCCAUAUGAGCGUAGCUGAAAUGCUAUUCUUGAAAACUCCGGUGCUUAAGGAUGAGCCUGCAUCUGAUUAGCUAGUUGGGGGUGUAAUGGACCACCAAGGCGACGAUCAGUAGCUGGUUUGAGAGGAUGAUCAGCCACAAUGGGACUGAGACACGGCCCAUACUCCUACGGGAGGCAGCAGUAGGGAAUUUUGCGCAAUGGGCGAAAGCCUGACGCAGCAACGCCGCGUGAUUGAUGAAGCCCUUCGGGGUGUAAAGAUCUGUCAGUGGGGACGAAACUUGACGGUACCCACAGAGGAAGCAUCGGCUAACUCCGUG
rnacentral:rRNA from 1 species